GACAGAGGAUGCAAGCGUUAUCCGGAAUUACUGGGCGUAAAGGGCUCGUAGGUGGCCAACUAAGUCAGACGUGAAAUCCCUCGGCUUAACCGGGGAACUGCGUCUGAUACUGGAUGGCUUGAGUGUGGGAGAGGGAUGCGGAAUUCCAGGUGUAGCGGUGAAAUGCGUAGAUAUCAAGAGGAACACCUGAGGUGAAGACGGGUUGCUGGGCUGACACUGACGCUGGGGCGCGAAAGCGUGGGGAGCGAACAGG
rnacentral:rRNA from 1 species